GACGAACGCUGGCGGCGUGCUUAACACAUGCAAGUCGAACGAAGUGGGAACGGGUGAGUAAUACGUGGGUAACCUCCCAUCAGAGGGGAUAACACUUGGAAACAGGUGCUAAACCGAUACUGCAUGAGGGUCCCGCGGUGAAUUAGCUAGUUGGGGAGGUAACGGCUCACCAAGGCCACGAUGCAUAGCCGACCUGGGAGGGUGAUCGGCAAAAGUGGGACUGAGACACGGCCCAGCUUCCUACGGGAGGCAGCAGUAGGGAAUCUUCGGCAAUGGACGAAAGUCUGACCGAGCAACGCCGCGUGAGUGAAGAAGGUUUUCGGAUCGUAAAACUCUGUUGUUAGAGAAGCGGUAUCUAACCAGAAAGCCACGGCUAACUACGUGCCAGCAGCCGCGGUAAUAC
rnacentral:rRNA from 1 species